GAAAUGCGAUAAGUAGUGUGAAUUGCAGAAUUCAGUGAAUCAUCGAAUCUUUGAACGCACAUUGCGCCCCUUGGUAUUCCAUGGGGCAUGCCUGUUCGAGCGUCAUUUGUACCCUCAAGCUCUGCUUGGUGUUGGGUGUUUGUCCCGUCUCCGCGCGUGGAUUCGCCCCAAAGUGAUUGGCAGCCGGCGUACUGGUCCCGGAGCGCAGCACAUGUCGCGCAAACGAGUGCCUUGGUACGGCGGCGUCCAUAAGCCCCUCUCUCACGCUCUUGACCUCGGAUCAGGUAGGGAUACCCGCUGAACUUAAGC
rnacentral:misc_RNA from 1 species